UACUCGGUAGCUUAGUUGGUAAAGCGUUUGUCUAACAUACAAAAUCCCUGGAUUCGAAUCCCAGCCGAACAC
rnacentral:tRNA from 1 species